rnacentral:lncRNA from 1 species
AUUAGGAGGUGUUUUAGGUAAAUUGCUCAGGGGUUGGGGUGGGAUAAAAUGUCCCCGCUGCUUGUGGGCCUUAUCAGUGUAUUUUUCUGUGUUCCAUCCUUGGCGGAGGGAGACCGAGUGCUUCUGAUAAAGACGCGGGGUGUGACUCCACAACAGAGGAUGGAGCACGGCUGCCGUGGAGAUUCUGGCUCGGCCACUGUCACCUCUGGGAAUUCUCUCGGCAUGAGACAAGUGUGCCUUCGUUUUCCCAGGCAGGAGGAGGGAUUCCUUUCAUCCCAGGCAUACUUGCUCCCUACCACGGUCACUGUGCCCCUGUGUGUGCCACUUGCGGCGCUGGCCCUGCCCCAGCCCCUGCCCCAGCCCCUGCCCCUGCCCCGGUGUGCCCGUGCUAUCAGCCGUUCCCAAGGCUGGCCGGCCUGGGAACGGCUGGGUGGACCCAUUCCAAAGUCAGCAUUACAUGCAUUUAUUGUUCUUACCCUCCCC